rnacentral:rRNA from 1 species
GACGAACGCUGGCGGCGUGCUUAACACAUGCCAGUCGAACGGAAAGGCCCUGCUUUUGUGGGGUGCUCGAGUGGCGAACGGGUGAGUAACACGUGAGUAACCUGCCCUUGACUUUGGGAUAACUUCAGGAAACUGGGGCUAAUACCGGAUAGGAGCUCCUGCUGCAUGGUGGGGGUUGGAAAGUUUCGGCGGUUGGGGAUGGAUUCGCGGCUUAUCAGCUUGUUGGUGGGGUAGUGGCUUACCAAGGCUUUGACGGGUAGCCGGCCUGAGAGGGUGACCGGCCACAUUGGGACUGAGAUACGGCCCAGACUCCUACGGGAGGCAGCAGUGGGGAAUAUUGCACAAUGGGCGGAAGCCUGAUGCAGCAACGCCGCGUGCGGAAUGACGGCCUUCGGGUUGUAAACCGCUUUCGCCUGUGACGAAGCGUGAGUGACGGUAAUGGGUAAAGAAGCACCGGCUAACUACGUG